rnacentral:lncRNA from 1 species
UUUUCAGCCGUUAAAAAUUAUUGAUUUUGAAUCCUUUUGAUUGCUAGGUAAAUAAUAUCAAAAAAUCCCAAAAAUUAUUUUCUAGAAACUUCAAAUACGCUAGAUCAAGUCUAACGGAGCCGAUUGACGAUUCGAAAAUUCCAUCAUCGAAAAUGGCUCAGGAGCACGGAAGCCUCCGUGCUCUUGAGAGCAUAGCAGUCUUGCUCUCUCUCUCUCUAUAUAUGUAUAGAAUUAGAGUACUAUACUAUUUAUAGUACCGGAGCUCCGGUACUAUAGUCUUGUUUUCGAUCUUAGGGUAUUCAAAUUAACGAUCUACGCUGUUAAAUAUGAUCUAGGUUUUAUGAAGUUCUUAGAAAUAAAAUUUUAGUUUUUUUCGAUAUCGUUUACUGAGUAAAUAAAUUAUGUCAAAAUGGACGCUGGAAAUUGAAUAAUCUUUAAAAUUUGAGCAUAGGACUUUUAAAUUAAAGAUCAAAAAUGUUAACCUUAAUCUAGAUAGUUUAAAGUAUUUUCUAUCAAAAUUUGAAGAAAGUUAGAUUUUUCUACACCGUUAAACUCCUAACUCGCCAUAGUAGCCAUUGAAAAUUGACAAUUUUGAAUGGUUUGAUCAUAAAAUAAACUAUGUCGAAAAAAUAUAAAAUUUUAUUUCUAAAAAUUUCUAUAUCCUAGUUCAGUUUUAACGGUGUAGAUCGUUGAUUUGAACAUCCUAAGAUCGAAAACGAGACUAUAGUACCGGAGCCUCGGUACUAUAGAUAGUAUAGGAGAUUAGCUAUAUAUAUAUAUAUAUAUAUAUAUAUAUAUAUAGUAGGGCUACUAUACUCUUAUGAAUAUAAAGUUCUUCGUACUCACAAGUUGUUUUCGAUGUUGGGGCUUUCGAAUCGACGAUCCACACCGUUAAAUAUGAUCUAGAGUAUUUGAAACUUUUAGAAAAUAAAUUUCGUAAUUUUUCAAAAUUAUUAUAAAAUCCAUCAAGCAGGUAUAAAAUGAAUGGUCAAAAUUAAACGACAUCCUAAAAAUGGAUGAUCGGAUUCUUCAAUUUAAGAUCGGAGUUAUUGAUAUUUAUUUAGAUAGUGAAUAGAAUUUUCUAUCAAAAAUUCAACCGAUUCAUAUUCUUUUACACCGUUACACUAGCAAAUAUCUUAUACCGGCCGUUAAAAAUUGUCAAUUUUGUGAGCUUUUGAUUGUAAGGUAAAUUGUAUCAAAAAAUUAUAAAAUUUGAUUUCUAAGAUUUUUAAAUGCUAUAAACAAUGUUUAACGGUAUGGAUCGUCGAUUCAAAAGCUUUAUCAUCGAAAACAACUUAUAAGUACG